AACAAAGACUAUAUUGAACUUUUUGAAAAUACAGGAGGUAUUAAAAUGUUUCAGACAAUACCGUGAAGUUGAACAUUUGAACAAAGCACUGGGAGUAGAGCUAGAUUUCAAUUGAUUUACACAUUUAAACAUAAUUUAGCACAACCUUAACAUAGCAUGGGUUACAAAAAAGGAAAUAGCUAAUUAUGGCUCAAAAAGGAUAGCUUUCAUAAUGAGUCAAAAAUUAACACAUGUAGAUGAAGUAGGUAAUGACUAUUGACAUGCAAGCUCCUAUAUUAGCAAGCUCCAGCUAAUAUUCAGACACAUGCAUUAGCCCGAGACAUUUACCACGUCAUUAGUUAUUCACGGGCCCACAAGAAGUACUGUAAACAAGCCAAGGUGCUAUCACAAAUCAAAUGAAACCAAGUUUUCUCUUAGUAAUCUUACACCUCAUAUUUUCAGUAGCCGCGUUGAACGUUAAAACAAGCAGGUUGGAUCAAAGCGACAUGCGACUAAGAAAUUAUAGAGAGCAAACUGUUGCUACACGGCAUGUUUUCGUCACCAAGUACUGUUAAGAAAAAGCUGCUGUUGAUUUUGGGGGCAAAUUCACCUUCAUUUGUUUGACAAUAAUUAUUUGGGUUUCUGGCAACCAAUUAUUUUGUAAAAGUAAUGGUUACUUUUCUCAACUUAAAGCUCAUUUGUUGUAUUUGUUAACAAUUAGCCUUCAUAACAAGAAAACAUUUAUUGAUUUUCUAGCCUAUCUUGUCAUGUGACUUUUUCUGAACCCCCGAUGGGUUGAUUUUAUCUCCAUCGUGUAUCCUAUUUCGCAGGUGGCACGUACCUACCCAGACUUACCAUGGGGGAGGAUCCGACAAGAUGUUAAAACGUGCUUAAAGCACAGAACUUAUGACCAGACCACAAGGAAGGAAAGCUGCAGUCACCAUCCUUUCAAUGACAGAGGAAGGAAGGAAACAUCCUGUCUUGACUCAGGUUAAAAAGGACAUCGUCAUCGAUAUGAGCAUAUACACCAUCCAGCUGACGCCGACAGCCGAGCCGAGCACAUCAAAAUGAUUCCUGUUGGUCGUCAAUUUUUUGGUAAUUUCCUUCGCGACUCCUCAGGUGUUUUGAGGUAGCCUUUGCCCUGUGAAAAGGAAGAUUAGUAUCGUAUGUUCAAUUUAGUACAUUUAAUUAAUUUGAAACAAUUCCUAGAACUAUACAGUAAUUGUGAAGCCUAACAAUAGAACAUAUACAUAACUAUGCCAAAGUUGAAAACAUGUUGCGUACCCUUUUUGCAGCGUCAUUUUGCGAAGUAUAUUAAAUAUUCACCCCGAAGUACAGGUACCGACGCCGAAGUAUAGCUAACUUUAUAAGGAAUCUUGGAUAUGCGAUCUUUCACAGUGAAUUAAUAAGUCAUUUUGAAAUUUGCAUACUUUCACAUACUAAAUAAAGGUCAAAAUCCGAAAGCACGUUACGGAUUCAGAACAAAAGAUUCUAUCAGUAAUGAGACAAAGCGUUUAAUUUUCCGACAGCACGUUACGUAGCUCAGAACAAAGAUUCUAUGAAACAAUUUGGAAAAGCAUACCAAAUAUAUGAAGCGGAAAAUGUUGAUCUCUCAACUUUUGUAAUCUGUUCUGUGUCUGUCUGUCCCCAAGUAAGCUCGAGCAAAUAUUGCCCGGUUGAACGACGAUAGACCGGACGCCAGGCUACGUCUGCUCCAAACACUGGACGGUCAAUUAUUUUAACUGUAAAGUUCUAGAAUGCCGCCUUUGGGUUGAUCUAAAGUGUAACGAUUAACGGUAACCAUAACGUCGGCCAUGGCCACAGCCGACCUGUAGUUAACUGCCGACUGACAUAACUGAAAAUAAGAUUAACAUGCCCAUAUUUCAUUAACAAACUUUCUUGGCUAGCUCUGGAUGUUUGAAACUAUAAUAUAACUUUUAAAUUUCAAUUUACAGUUAAAACAACAACGGAAAGAUAGAAAAUCCUUACUGUUUUCAACUUAUAUUAUCUUAUAUCUUAUGUGAACGCAACAGUCCUGAAUCAAAGUCUGCUGUAGUAUUCGAUCUGACGUUUUGGAAUGAAUGAAUGAAUAAAUAAAUUAAUACAACUUUUCUUUUCGUGUCUUGUGCAUUCAGUUUACAAGACACCAAAAGAAAAUUUUUACACGAUACAAAGUACAGAAGCUAAUAAAAGCCUUAACAAUCAUCGAACAAAGACAUAAAAUCAGAUAUCUACAAAUAAACAUAAUUUCUAAACCGUUCUUUUACAUGACAAAAAAGAAUGGAUAUAUGUCAAUAAUUCAGAAAUAACAGCAGUUGAUACAGUAUAUGUACUUCUCUACCCAUAGAUUUCUCUCCAUAUACAAAUACAAGGAGACUGCGAAAAUGUACAACGAUGAUAGAAAUAAACGUAUAAAAGGUAAAAUUCGUGUUGUAUAUGGUGAAGAAAGUUUUUACACUUCACAUGUAAACCAUUAAUAAUGUAGAGAUGCGAAAGCUGUAUUAGAAUACCUUAGGCCACACCAAUUUAAUUUCUUGGUUCACGGAUUU